GAUGAACGCUGGCGGCGUGCUUAACACAUGCAAGUCGAACGGAAAGGCCCAAGCUUGCUUGGGUACUCGAGUGGCGAACGGGUGAGUAACACGUGGGUGAUCUGCCCUGCACUUCGGGAUAAGCCUGGGAAACUGGGUCUAAUACCGGAUAGGACCACUUCUUGGAUGUUGUGGUGGAAAGUUUUUUCGGUGUGGGAUGAGCUCGCGGCCUAUCAGCUUGUUGGUGGGGUAAUGGCCUACCAAGGCGUCGACGGGUAGCCGGCCUGAGAGGGUGUACGGCCACAUUGGGACGGAGAUACGGCCCAGACUCCUACGGGGGGCAGCAGUGGGGAAUAUUGCACAAUGGGCGCAAGCCUGAUGCAGCGACGCCGCGUGGGGGAUGACGGCCUUCGGGUUGUAAACUCCUUUCGCUAGGGACGAAGCGUUUUUGUGACGGUACCUGGAGAAGAAGCACCGGCUAACUACGUG
rnacentral:rRNA from 1 species